UCGCCAGCGAACCUUUGGUAUUUGUGAAAUGGGAGAAUUAUUAACGCCGCACGUUUCUGCUGAGAACUGUCGACGAUGUCCUCGUGGAUGUCCACGAGAUCAGAGAUCACCGUUAUGGAACGAAUUUUAACAUGGCUGAGUUGGUCGAAAGCUUCGAAUGCGACGGCGACGUUUUCUCCUUUGGAUCGACGAUUGUUCCAGAACGAAAGACCAUUACGACGGGCAUUAUUUACCAACGGAUAUCAGAAGGCUUUUCUGAGAGCUCCAUGAGGUGCAUGAAAUACAUAGUAAUCCCACGACGAAGCGCUCCACGGAAGGACUCGACGAGGUUAAUCAUCCCGGGAAUUUCACGCAUGGUGUGGAAACAUGCUACGACACGUAGCUCACUUUUGAAGUCGGUACCUUGGAUGGUCCGGUGCUUGUAUGGUGCAGUUCAUCGUGCUGGUUUGUAAAUUGUCGUAACUAUCGGGGCGGUGACGAAGGUUGUGAAAAGAGCCAUAGUAACCAGAAUCGCAAAGGACUCGUCGUUCAGGACCCCACGGUCUUUUCCAAUGUUAAGCACGAUGAUCUCGACGAGCCCCUUUGUGUUCAUGGGGAACCCCAGAGCGACUGCUUCAUUCGUCGAAAUCCUAAGAAUCAUGGAAAUAACAAUCGUUUCGACAAUCUUACCGAAGUAGGCGGUAGCGAUGACUAACAUUAGAAGGCCCCAAGAUACCGGUCCGCUCAUCGUGUCUAUGUUUGUUUUCAGACCACUGGAGACGAAGUAGAGAGGUAGGAAAAUACUGGAGAUGAGAUCUUCGAUCUUUUCUAUGAGAACUCCGGCGAAAGGACCUUCUUUAGGAAUGAUGAUCCCGAUUAUAAAAGCCCCGAACAGAGCAUGGAUUCCGAUCAUGUCGGUGCGCCAACAAGAACUGUGAGUAGAGUUAUACAUAUAUGGAUUUCUUUCACUUGCUCUCCAUCAGGUGAUUUGAAGGUCAACCAAAUGAUAAAUAUGGACGGAUGACCACCGUAGCAAAGACGACGAAGCCGAUUCCACGGAGAAAAACCCACAAACUUAUAAGGGGUGAUCCAGAACCCGAGAGUGAAACCGCAAGAGCGAGUAAAAUCCAAGCGACGACAUCAUUGAUGGCAGCCGCUGGCAUAGCCAUCCGACCGAUGUCAGUUGUGAGAAGCUUGAGUCCGGCAAGUAUACGGGCGAGGACGGGGAAAGCGGUUAU
rnacentral:lncRNA from 1 species